rnacentral:rRNA from 5 species
CGAAGGUGGGACAAAUGAUUGGGGUGAAGUCGUAACAAGGUAGCCGUAUCGGAAGGUGCGGCUGGAUCACCUCCUUUCUAAGGA